CAAAUUAUCAAAAGCUAUAAAAACAGAACCAACGAAAAAAGGUACCCAACUGUCCAUGUUCCGCUACUUGCUUUCUAUCAGCAGUUCAUCACUCAUGCUCGCCACCGUCUUCAUUUCUCCCAUCCCUUUCUCUUCUUCGUUGAACUCGAGCCAAAACCCUUCCAAAACUCACAAAGAGAAUCGCUCUCUUAACAACAAUUCAAAAUUCUCAGUCUCAAAGGACCCCAAUAAUGGCCCCAUUAAGAUGCCAACGGCUCCAUGGAUGAAGGGUCCUCUCCUUCUCCAACCCCAUGAAGUGUUAAACCCUUCAAAAUCCACCAGCAAAAAGAGCUCAAACAGCAAGGCCAAGGCACCUGACAAGGCAUUGUUUGGAAAAGAAAGUGGGGUCAGAGGGAAGAAAGUGAUGAAAAAGAUCAUUAGAAACGUGGAAAUGCUACAAGGAAAUGAAGUUUUGGAAGAUACCCAGAUUGGGAUUCGUGAAGAAUUUGAGGUUGGGAAUUGGUUGGAGGAAUUUGGAAGUGAUGGGGAAGUGAAAAGAUUUGAUGGGAAAAUGCCUUGGUUGAGAGAAGAAGAGAAAGUUGUGUUUAGGAGGAUGAAAAAGGAAAAACUUUUGACUCAGGCUGAGAUUAGUCUUGAUAAGGAUUUGCUUGAGAGGUUGAGAAGGAAGGCUAUGAGGAUGAGGAAAUGGAUUAAGGUGAUGAAACUUGGUGUAACUAAGGCUGUUGUUGAUGAGAUAAAGUUGGCUUGGAGGAAAAAUGAGCUUGUAAUGGUAAAAUUUGGUGUCCCUUUGUGUAGAAAUAUGGAUAGAGCAAGAGAAAUUAUUGAGAUGAAGACCAGAGGCUUGGUUGUAUGGGGCAAGAAAGAUGCUCUUGUCGUUUACAGAGGAUGCAGUCAUGGGUUGACUUCAAAAAUUUCUUCAAUGAAAUAUCCUAGAUGUGCUGAUGGUCAAGAAAUAUCUUCAUCAACGUUCAGUCACCUUACUUCAAGCAAUAAUAUUAAUAUGUCUCUAGAAAAAUUUAAUGGAAGUACUCUGCAGAGUGGUUUGUAUAGAGAAGACAGAGAAAAGGAGUCAAUGCCAAUCAACAUUUUUAUGAAAGAAGAUGAAAAUAACCAACCAGUAAUUGGAUCAUUGUAUGAGAGGGAAACUGAUAGAUUAUUGGAUGGUUUAGGACCUCGCUUUAUUGACUGGUGGAUGCGAAAGCCAUUACCAAUUGAUGCAGACUUGCUUCCAGAAGUGGUUCCUGGAUUUAGGCCUCCAUUAAGGCUUUCUCCUCCCAACACUAGACCAAACUUGACAGAUGACGAGUUGAAAUAUUUGAGGAAGCUUACUCAUCCUUUACCUUUUCAUUUUGCUCUUGGGAAGAAUAGGAAUCUUCAAGGCUUGGCUGCUGCUAUUUUAAAAUUGUGGGAAAAAAGUCUCAUAGCAAAGAUUGCUAUAAAGUGGGGAAUUCAGAAUACUGACAAUGAGCAAAUGGCGUACGAGCUCAAGAAUCUCACAGGAGGAGUUCUGUUAGUACGCAAUAAGUUCCUUCUAAUACUUUAUAGGGGGAAGGACUUCCUUCCUCAAGGAGUUGCUAAUUUGGUUGUGGAGAGAGAAAUGGCACUCAGAAGAUGCCAACUUAAUGAAGAAGGUGCUCGAGUGAAAGUGGCUGAAACCUGUCAGGUUGCUGAUGAACCUUUGGCAAAGACUAGCACUGUAGGAACUUUAUCAGAAUUUGAGGAUAUCCAGGCCAGAUUUGGAGACCUGAAAAAAGAAAGUAGUGAACUUGAACUUCAAUUGGAAGCUCAAAAGGAAAACUUAGAGAGGGAAUUGAGAAACCAAGAACGCAAGCUGUCAAUCCUUAACAUAAAAAUAGAGAAGUCUGCUAAAGAGCUAGCGAAGUUGAAGUCUUCAUGGCAACCUGCUGAGCAGGAUGUGGAUCUGGAAAUCAUUACUGAAGAGGAGAGAGAAUGCUUGCGGAAGAUAGGAUUGAAGCUCAAUAGUUUCUUAGUGCUUGGCAGGCGUGGGGUCUUUAAUGGCGUCAUAGAAGGAGUGUAUCAACACUGGAAGCAUAGAGAAGUUGUCAAGGUAAUCACAAUGCAGAGAGUGUUUGCACGAGUCAUUUACACUGCAAAAUUUCUUGUAGCAGAGACUGGUGGGAUCUUGGUUUCAGUCGAGAAGCUAAAGGAAGGUCAUGCUCUAAUCAUUUACCGAGGAAAAAAUUAUCGACGCCCUUUGAAGCUAAUGACUAACAACCUUUUAACUAAGAGGGAAGCAUUACGGCAGUCUAUUGAAUUGCAGAGAAUUGGAUCAUUGAAGUUUUUUGCAUAUCAGCGACGGCAGGCUAUCCUGGAUUUGAAACUCAAACUGGCGGAGCUAAAGGAUAGAAGAGUUGGUACUUCGCAAAGGUGACAAGCUACUGACUAACUGAUGUUCUACGAAUUGUGAAAUCCUGUGGAAAUUUCUUCUCUAAUCAAUCAUCAUGGAGUAUUACUAUAAACAGCCUCUCAUGGGAAAAUGAAGAAAGACUUCUAGAUGAGAUGGUUCCACGUGCUUGAAGUACGAGCUGUUUUGAUCCCUGUGUGCAUCACUAUAUGAACAUGUGGCAAGUUAGCCAAGCUUUUGACAGCCCAUCAAGGGGACAUUCAGACAAUAUUGCAUGCUACUUUCUUGCAUGUGUUGGUUCAGACAGUUUAAGCUUGAGAUGCUACACUGGACAAAUGUGGUAACAACUUACUGUGGUGAUACAGCACAAUAUCCGAAUUAAAGACAGGAGUGGUCAAGCCUUGAAUAGAGGCCAUGUACUUCUCAAUGGUGUUACACCUUAUUCUCAAAAGGUCGUCCAACCAAUUGAAUUUUUCUUACUGGCCUGAAGUCACUAAGGAAUCAUCAUCUGGUGCAACUGUGAUUGUUUAGUCUAAUAAUAGAAAAAGGAUAAAGAGAAUUUUAGAUAUUUUAUAUUUAAUAUUAACGUCAUUUAGAUGUUUGGAA